UUCUUCUAUCUAUCACCACUACCCACUACCACCACUACCCACUACCAUCACCACUAUCGGGCCUGUUUGGAACAUGAGUUUUUUAAAAGUUUGUAUAAAACUUUACUGUAGUGCACUGUAUAAGUUUUUGAAAAAAUUUUAUAGAAGUUUUUUUAAGGUAAAAAACUUUUUGAUAGAAGUUUUUGUAAUAAAAAAUUUUGUAAAAGUUUUUUGUAAGGUGAAAACCUUUUUUUUUUU
rnacentral:lncRNA from 1 species